UACGGAGGAGACAAGCGUUAUCCGGAAUUAUUGGGCGUAAAGCGUCCGUAGAUGGUCGUUUCAAGUCUGCUGUCAAAGACCGGGGCUUAACCCCAGAAAGGCGGUGGAAACUGAACAGCUAGAGAGAGGUAGGGGUAGAGGGAAUUCCCAGUGUAGCGGUGAAAUGCGUAGAUAUUGGGAAGAACAUCAGUGGCGAAAGCGCUCUACUGGACCUUAUCUGACAUUGAGGGACGAAAGCUAGGGGAGCGAAUGGG
rnacentral:rRNA from 1 species